AAAGACUUUCUAAUCUGGCAUCAGGAUAAAUUGGAGAAAAACAUGAUCUUUGACUUUGAUCGAGAAAUUUUAGAUUACUGCCGUAGUGAUGUGGACAUACUCAGACAAGCUUGUUUGAAAUUCAGAGAAAUUCUUAUGAAGAUCACAGGAAAAGAAGAAGUGGUAUUUGAGGAUGAAAUGCCAGAGAAAAAAUUAAUGGGAGGCGUGGAUCCUUUUCAAUGCACGACCAUUGCUGGGGUUUGCAUGGAAGUGCUUCAAAGCAAAUUUCUUCAAGAAGAAUGGCGUGUCAAAGUUAGAGGCAAUGAUGGAAUAAGUGAUGGGCUACAGGCCCGCCGACUCCAAGGGGACUUUUCCAUUUUAUUCAAGGAACAUUGGGUUACGGGUGAAGAGUUACAGAAUCAAGAAUACGUAAUAGAAGAAUCUGAAUUUGUUAGUUCAUCUAUUUCACAAAUCCCUUCCACGGGUUAUGCCCCUUUUCUCGGACAAUAUAGUUGCGUAUCGAUACAGUGGCUCUCAUGGAUACAAGAUCAUUUCAAAAAGAAAGGGCACCGUCUCUACAUACAGCAUGCCUUAAAUGAGGGUGAAUUUCGACUGCCGGGUACCAAAUACUUAUUAGAUGGAUACUGCCCCGAAACCAACACUGCAUACGAAUUUCAUGGGUGUUACUGGCACGGAUGUCCCACAUGUUUUCCUACUCAGCGUCAGCAACUAAAACAUAUAAGAACCAAACACUCCAUGAACGAGUUACUGACCAUGACCUUAAAAAAGAGAGAAUACAUUCAAUCGCUGGGCAUGAAAUAUGUCUACAUUUGGGAGCAUGAUUUUGAAAACUUCCUGAACCAGAACCAAGACGCAUCUGAUUAUGUUCAUUCCCUAAACCUGCAAGAAAGAUGCUGGAUAGAAGAGUCUUAUAUUUCGAUACGGAUUCAGUCAUUUUCGUCAGCAGACCUGGAGAUCAGGAACCAAAAGUCGGGUCAUUUCUUGGUCAACUUACCAGUGAGUUACAACCCGAAGAAUACAUUACAGAAUUUGUUUCAGGAGGACCUAAAAAUUACGCUUACAGGACUUCAGAAGGAAAAGAAGUAUGCAAAAUCAAAGGAUUUACCCUAAACUAUGUUAACAGUUUAAAACUUAAUUUUGCUUCCAUGCUGGAUUUGGUGCUCAGGCCGGAUCAGGGUCAGCAUUCCGAUUCAACAGGUUCAUGUACAACGAUUGUUAACCCACACAGAAUUAUGCGACAUAAGCAACAGCAUAUUAUUUACAAUC
rnacentral:sRNA from 1 species